rnacentral:rRNA from 1 species
CCGGAGGUCACUGCUAUUGGGAUUCGACUAAGCCAUGCGAGUCGAGAGGGUUCGGCCCUCGGCUGACGGCUCAGUAACACGUGGAUAAUCUGCCCUUAGGUGGAGGAUAACCUCGGGAAACUGAGAAUAAUACUCCAUAGGCCUAGGAUGCUGGAAUGCACUUAGGCUCAAAGUUCCGACGCCUAAGGAUGAGUCUGCGGACUAUCAGGUUGUAGUCAGGGUAAUGACCUGACUAGCCUACGACGGAUACGGGUUGUGAGAGCAAUAACCCGGAGAUGAUAUCUGAGACACGAUAUCAGGCCCUACGGGGCGCAGCAGGCGCGAAAACUUCACAAUGCGCGAAAGCGCGAUGAGGGAAUCCCAAGUGCUUGCACGUAAGUGUAAGCUGUUUUUAUGUUUAAAAAGCAUAGAGAGUAAGGGCUGGGUAAGACGGGUGCCAGCCGCCGCGGUAAUACCUGCAGCUCAAGUGGUGGCCGCUAUUAUUGGGCCUAAAACGUCCGUAGCCUGUUUAAUAAAUGCCCGGGUAAAUCGUGUAGCUUAACUAUACGAAUUCCGGGUAGACUGUUAAACUUGAGACCGGGGGAAGUUAGAGGUACUCCUGGGGUAGAGGUGAAAUUCUGUAAUCUUAGGGGGACCACCGGUGGCGAAGGCGUCUGACUAGAACGGGUCUGACGGUGAGGGACGAAGCCCUGGGGCGCAAACCGGAUUAGAUACCCGGGUAGUCCAGGGUGUGAACGCUGCUUGCUUGAUGUUGGUUGGGCUCCGAGCCCAAUCAGUGUCCGAGAGAAGUCGUUAAGCAAGCUGCCUUGGGAAGUACGGUCGCAGGACUGAAACCUUUAAAGGAAUUGGGUGGGGGAGCCC